rnacentral:lncRNA from 1 species
AGGGCCUUCCAUGAACACUGAAGGUGAAUGUUUCCCCGUUCAUUCACCUGGAUGACAUCUCUCUCUCUGGGUCAGGACCUUCCUCAGUGUGAAAAUAAACAGAUCUGCCAGAUGACUCUUCUUAGAGUAUGCAGUGUCAGUCAGGAGCCCGGCAGAUACAGGUGUCACACUCAGCCAGGGAAAAUGGGGAAGUGGGUGGGGCUGUGGAUGGGAAAGCAACUGCAAUGUGCAAGAAUCCUGGAGACCCACAACUAGGAAGGGGAGCCAAGCUGAAGUGACUGUCUCUCCCAUCUCCCUCUGUCCAAACAGGAAGGCAGAAGUCAAGGGCACCCUGGCAGAGAACACAGAGCAUGAGAAGGCCUGAGUUCGGAGCCUCAGAACCCAGGAAAAGCUGCUCUCUGCAACCGCAUCUACACCCUCAGCUCUUCAGUGCUAAGGAGCAGACAGGUAGGCCUGGUCUCACUGGACACUCAGUCCAACCCAGUCAGACUCUAAUAAGUAACAAGACCAUCUGAGGUUUUAAAGAAAAAAACAAAAAUAAAGGAUCAGACCUACCCGCCUUCACCCAGCCUGAACCUUGUACUUUAUCAGGUCUCUAGGACACUCGCCGACCCUGCGAAGUGGGAGAGCCGCUGGCUUGCAGCAGCAGAUGCUGAGAAAGAGUGAUGUAUCAGGAAAAGAGGCCCGGGACCCGAGACAGCUACAACCCAGACUCCCCCAAGGGCUGAGCUGGAGGCUGCUGUGACUGAGGAAAGCUCAAAAUAAACUGAAGAAAAUAUAAUGGUUUUAAAACAAAGGGAGGGCCUGUUUCUCUGGAGCAUAGGCUAAGUUUGCCCAAUGGGUUCCAGCUGUCCUUCAAUCGGGCUAGCCUGGGUUUCGCUUUAGUUUUUUAAGAUGAUCUAUUUUUUUAUUG